rnacentral:ncRNA from 1 species
AAAUAAACUUUGAUAAGAAGAGUAAAUUAUAUAAAAUUUUAAGAGAGGAAAUGGAAGGUGCAAAUUUCUAAUUUUAUAUUUUUGAAAACUAACUUGGAGUUCCAUAGCAAACUAUGGCGUAAGGAUGCGUUAAAUCCCUUGAGUUUAAUUAAGGUGGAACCACGGUCAUCGUCCUUUGG